ensembl:lncRNA
AAUCCAGGGAAGUUAGGUGUCCUUCGUUCUGAUUCUCACUAAGUUAUUUGUCACGAGAGACAAUUCUGCAGCGAUAUUUCUUCCCGCAGACCACGCCAGCAAUGCAGUAUCGUGGUGCCGACGAUGCCAGGUUCCGCUCAGAUCUGCCCUGUUGAAAGCUGGCACUUAUUUCUGCGGGGCUCGAUUUUUGACACUUGUUGUGACUUUGAAAUUUGGUGCAGUCGUAAUUUGUAAUGAUGCUUAAUGCAGAAUGUGAUUUGGGUCACGCUGAAAGCUUCAGUCUGAGCAUGAGGGUUGUGCGUCUUCUCACCUAUCUUCACGUGGGACUGGAACUCAAAGGCACGAUAACGAACGCUAACAGCGAGCAGUCACUAAAUUUCAAGAGAGCUGCCUCCCUAAACGCCAAAACAAAGAGUCCGCAAGGAUGAAGAUCUAAAAAGAGCUGUAGUCGAGGUCUUGUGAGAGUGAAGGGAAGCAGUAAUCAGGCAUCUUAAGUAAUUGGAUCAUAGAGAUUUCAACUAGACAGAAAAUCGAACGGUUAGUUCAGUGCAGGAAUGGGACAGGGAGAGAAAUACAAAGCUAGAGAGCUCAGAGAGGGCAGACCACAAUAUAUAAUGCUUUUUUUGUCUGGCUGGAGAGCCCAGUGAACAGAAAACAAUAGGACCAUGAAGUCCUAAUCUUCAGCUCUCCGCUGCCAACACGAGGCACCACAGCUGUGUUUCUAAAUUUAAAAAAAAAAAUCUGUUUUCCAUCCUCCAUCAUAAGGAAAGACAAAAAAUAUAUUCCAACAUAAUGUACUACUUGGCUACCGUGCAAUGUUGGUACAUGACACGUUUUCCUUUCUGUGGUCAGUCUUUUAGUGAUAGUUCAGUGUGAUGAUAAAGCAAGUGAAGACUAUACUGAAAUUUUGAAGUCUUCCUACUCAAAAAGUAUAGAUGCAUGAAAAUUAAUAGUAGUUGAAUGUUAGAAAGAAGGUUAUAUAUCUACCCUUUGUUUCUAGGUUAAUUUUAGCUCCAUUGGUUCGGCUGUGCCUUUGCAUGAAUACUUGUGCCUGUACAGACGAUGGUAGAAACAAGCAGCUGAUGAUGGAGAAAAUGGGUUAAAAAUUCACCGAAUCUGGAGUCGGGAAGGAAUUUCCCUCAUGAGCAUAAUGUCAGCAACAUAAUCAGGGCUUGGGAACAAUCUGUUAGCACACAGAGAAAGGAUUAUGGUAGGACCAGGUGGGUGUAUUCCACACAGUCAAUCUCUUUCUAUUCAAUGGGCACAUAUUUUAUGAUUGUAUUCUUACUGAUUUUUGUUGUGAUUUUUUUUUUACUCUGAAAAGCCACUCAGAUAAUGCUCAGGCAGGACUGCAGAAAUCCACUGAGACUCUGUAUGUAUAUAUUGAGAGGAUUACCAUGUGCAAUUAAGUAAAUUGGAGAGUAAACUAAGUAGAAGCUAAAUGUAUUUCAGAAAAAAAGAAAGAAGAAAUAAAGAAAAGAAACAGUAUUCCUCAGACUCUUGAGAAUGUACCACCCUGACAACCCAAGCUGUGAGCAGAAAAUUGCAGAAAGAAUUCAAGAUGUGUUGUUACAAGUGGAUCUACACUGAAUUAUCUUUAUUUGAAUCCAUUAAUUCUGUGAUUUUCUCCAUCCUUAUCUCAGUAUGCCUCUUAUUGUAUGUAACUUACCUUUGUCAAAAAUUAAUGAUGAAUCAAGAGAGAAUAUAGACUAAAAAGUAAAACAGUGCAUUUAUAAAAUCAAUAAACAACGUAAAGAAUG